GUGGCUGUAGCUCAGUUGGCUAGAGCGCUGGGUUGUGGUCCCAGAUGUCGCGGGUUCGAGUCCCGUCAGCUACC
rnacentral:tRNA from 1 species